UUGAAUUCACGUAAAUAAUUUAUUAUAAUAUAUAUAAAACCUUAUAUUCCAGAAGAAGUUGAAUUCACAUGUAUAAUAUAUUAUAAUAUAUAAAACCUUAGGUGCAGAAGUUGAAUUCAGGCCAUUCCCAUGCAAAUUUCUCUACUGUUUCUUUCUUCUAUUAUCUAAAACAUUCCAAUACUCUCCCUUUCUCUUCUCUCAUGACACC
rnacentral:lncRNA from 1 species